rnacentral:rRNA from 1 species
CUACGGGAGGCAGCAGUCGAGAAUAAUUCACAAUGGGGGCAACCCUGAUGGUGCAACGCCGCGUGGAGGAUGACGGUCUUCGGAUUGUAAACUCCUGUCAUCUGGGAGUAAGACCUGGCUGUUAAUAGCAGACAGGGUUGAUAGUACCAGAAGAGGAAGGGACGGCUAACUUCGUGCCAGCAGCCGCGGUAAUACGAAGGUCCCGAGCGUUGUUCGGAAUCACUGGGCGUAAAGGGAGCGUAGGCGGCGCGGUAAGUCAGAUGUGAAAUCCCGGGGCUCAACCCCGGAACUGCAUCCGAUACUGCCGUGCUAGAGGAUUGGAGAGGUAGCUGGAAUUCUUGGUGUAGCAGUGAAAUGCGUAGAUAUCAAGAGGAACACUCGUGGCGAAAGCGAGCUACUGGACAACUCCUGACGCUGAGGCUCGAAGGCCAGGGUAGCGAAAGGGAUUAGAUACCCCUGUAGUCCUGGCAGUAAACGGUGCACGCUUGGUGUGAGGGGAAUCGACCCCCCUUGUGCCGGAGCUAACGCGUUAAGCGUGCCGCCUGGGAAGUACGGUCGCAAGACUAGAACUCAAAGAAAUUGACGGGGACCCGCACAAGCGGUGGAGUAUGUGGCUUAAUUCGAUGCAACGCGAAGAACCUUACCAAGGCUUGACAUGGAUUUCUAAGCACGUGAAAGCGUGUGACCCUUCGGGGAACUUCCACAGGUGCUGCAUGGCCGUCGUCAGCUCGUGUCGUGAGAUGUUGGGUUAAGUCCCGCAACGAGCGCAACCCUUGUGAUUAGUUGCCAGCACGUUAUGGUGGGAACUCUAAUCAGACUGCCCAGAUCAACUGGGAGGAAGGUGGGGACGACGUCAGGUCAGUAUGGCCCUUACGCCUUGGGCUGCACACGUACUACAAUGCCCAGCACAAUGAGAACCGAUACCGCGAGGUGGAGGAAAUCUAUAAAACUGGGCCCAGUUCGGAUUGGAGGCUGCAACUCGCCUCCAUGAAGUUGGAAUCGCUAGUAAUGGCGCAUCAUC